rfam:Leclercia adecarboxylata strain I1 Leclercia_S84_R1__paired__contig_26, whole genome shotgun sequence.
AAUGGCGGGUGCUGGCGUUCGCGCCGCUAACCUGGAAACGUUUUUACAGGCAGGGGUAGAAGAGCUUCACAGCUCGGCAGGCAAAUGGUUGCCGUCACCCAUGCGCUAUCGCAACACAGGCUUGUCGAUGUCGACGGAUGCCGAAGCGGAUGAAUAUUCCCGCUAUGGCGUCGAUGGCGAGUCGGUUGCAGAGAUGAAGGCGAUAAUCGAAAGGUUUAGCCGCUGAAACAGUUUUUACCGCGCAUCAUGUCGCCCAAUAUGAUGCUUGUUUGUACCAGGCCCCUGCAAUUUCAACAGGGGUCUUUUUUU